rnacentral:rRNA from 1 species
GACAGAGGUUGCAAACGUUGUUCGGAAUCACUGGGCAUAAAGCGCACGUAGGCGGCUGACUAAGUCGGAUGUGAAAUCCCUCGGCUUAACCGGGGAACUGCGUCUGAUACUGGUCGGCUUGAGAACGGUAGGGGUGAGCGGAACUCCAGGUGGAGCGGUGAAAUGCGUAGAUAUCGAGAGGAACACCUGCGGCGAAGGCGGGUUGCUGGGCUGACACUGACGCUGAUGCGCGAAAGCCAGGGGAGCGAACGGG